rnacentral:rRNA from 1 species
GAUGAACGCUGGCGGCGUGCCUAAUACAUGCAAGUCGAGCGAACAGACGAGGAGCUUGCUCCUCUGACGUUAGCGGCGGACGGGUGAGUAACACGUGGAUAACCUACCUAUAAGACUGGGAUAACUUCGGGAAACCGGAGCUAAUACCGGAUAAUAUAUUGAACCGCAUGGUUCAAUAGUGAAAGACGGUUUUGCUGUCACUUAUAGAUGGAUCCGCGCCGCAUUAGCUAGUUGGUAAGGUAACGGCUUACCAAGGCGACGAUGCGUAGCCGACCUGAGAGGGUGAUCGGCCACACUGGAACGGAGACACGGUCCAGACUCCUACGGGAGGCAGCAGUAGGGAAUCUUCCGCAAUGGGCGAAAGCCUGACGGAGCAACGCCGCGUGAGUGAUGAAGGUCUUCGGAUCGUAAAACUCUGUUAUUAGGGAAGAACAAAUGUGUAAGUAACUAUGCACGUCCUGACGGUACCUAAUCAGAAAGCCACGGCUAACUACGUG